GAGAUUUAACCUGCCCAUUGAAAUGUAUUUAAAAGGCCGCAGUAUUUUGACUGUGCAAAGGUAGCAUAAUCAUUAGUCUUUUAAUUGAAGGCUGGAAUGAAUGGUUGGACGAGGUAAAGCCUGUUUUAUAUUAAUAGAUUGAAUUUUGAUUUUAAGUGAAAAUACUUAAAUAUUUUUAAGGGACGAGAAGACCCUAUAGAGUUUUAUUAGUGUAGUUUUAAUUGAGUUAAGUAGUAAUAUUUGGUUAUUAUAAAACUUAUUUAGUUGGGAUGAUUUAAAGAUAUAAAAAACUCUUUAUUAAUUUAAAUUUAAGUAAGAAGCAAAUAUGAUCCUUUUAUAAUGAUUUAUAGAUUAAAUUACCUUAGGGAUAACAGCAUAAUUCUUUUUAAGAGUUCUAAUCAAAAAUAGAGUUUAUGACCUCGAUGUUGGAUUAAGAUAAAUAUUGGGUGCAGAUGUUCAUUUAUUAGGUCUGUU
rnacentral:rRNA from 1 species